CCUACGGGAGGCAGCAGUGAGGAAUAUUGGUCAAUGGACGAGAGUCUGAACCAGCCAAGUAGCGUGAAGGAUGACUGCCCUAUGGGUUGUAAACUUCUUUUAUAUGGGAAUAAAAUGUUCCACGUGUGGGAUUUUGUAUGUACCAUAUGAAUAAGGAUCGGCUAACUCCGUGCCAGCAGCCGCGGUAAUACGGAGGAUCCGAGCGUUAUCCGGAUUUAUUGGGUUUAAAGGGAGCGUAGGUGGAUUGUUAAGUCAGUUGUGAAAGUUUGCGGCUCAACCGUAAAAUUGCAGUUGAAACUGGCAGUCUUGAGUACAGUAGAGGUGGGCGGAAGUCGUGGUGGAGCGGUGAAAUGCUUAGAUAUCACGAAGAACUCCGAUUGCGAAGGCAGUUCACUGGACUGCAACUGACACUGAGGCUCGAAAGUGUGGGUAUCAAACAGGAUUAGAUACCCGGGUAGUC
rnacentral:rRNA from 1 species